rnacentral:rRNA from 1 species
CGGUCUAAAGAAAUUGUACGCCAGGAUUAAUACCAUGGGAGGGGAGAAACAUCCUGGUGGGCGAAAGGCCGGAUGCUGCAAGGGCCAUCUACUGACGCUGAGAGGGCAAAGCAUGGUGGAGCAGAACAGGGAUAACAUAACCCGUAGUAGUCCACGCGGUAAUCCGGUGCGAACUAGGUGUUGGCGACAUUGCAUGUGGUCUGUGCCGCAGCUAACGCAUUAAGUUCCCCGCCUGCGGAGUCCGGCCGCAAGGCUAAAAAUCAUAGGAAUUGACAGGGGUCCGCACAAGCAGCGGAGCAUGUGGCUUAAUUUGACGCAACGCGAAGAACCUUACCAAGGCUUGACAUACACCGGAAAGCAUCAGAGAUGGUGCCCCCCUUGUGGUCGGUGUACAGGUGGUGCAUGGCUGUCGUCAGUCGUGUCGUAAAAAGUUGGGUUAAGUCCCGCAACGAGCGCAACCCUUGUUCUGUGUUGCCAGCAUGCCCUCGGGGUGAUGGGGACUCACAGAAGACCGCCGGGGUCAACUCGGAGGAAGGUGGGGAGGAAGUCAAGUCAUCAUUCCCGUCUUGGGAUGCACACGUGCUACAAUGGCAGGUACAAUGAGAUGGGAUACCCUGAGGUGGAGCAAAUCUCAAAAAGCCUGUCUCAGUUCGUAUUGGGGUCUGCAACUCGACCCCAUGAAGUCGGAGUUGCUAGUAAUGGCAGAUCAGCAUUGAUGCGGUGAAUACGUUCCCGGGCCUUCUUCACACCGCCCGUCACGUCCCCCAAGUCGGUAACUCCCGAAGCCGGUGCCCACUCCCCUUUUGGGAGGGACGCUGUACGAAGGUGGGAACUGGCGACGGAGGAAGUCGUAACAAGAAGCCAAC